AGAAAAAAGCCGAGCGGUUUAAGGCGCUGCGCUUAGGUCGCAGUCCGGACUUCCGGGCGUGGGUGCGAAUCCCACUUCUG
rnacentral:tRNA from 1 species